UACGUAGGUGGCAAGCGUUGUCCGGAUUUAUUGGGUUUAAAGGGUGCGUAGGCGGCCCUGUAAGUCAGUGGUGAAAUACGGCAGCUCAACUGUCGAGGUGCCAUUGAUACUGCGGGGCUUGAGUACUGAUGAGGUAGGCGGAAUUGACGGUGUAGCGGUGAAAUGCUUAGAUAUCGUCAAGAACACCGAUAGCGAAGGCAGCUUACUAAGGAGUAACUGACGCUGAGGCACGAAAGUGCGGGGAUCAAACAGG
rnacentral:rRNA from 1 species